UACGGAGGGGGCUAGCGUUGUCCGAAGUUACUGGGCGUAAAGCGCGCGUAGGCGGGUUGGUAAGUCCGUUGUGAAAACUCGAGGCUCAACCUCGAGACGCCGAUGGAAACCAUCAGACUAGAGUCCGGAAGAGGAGAGUGGAAUUCCUGGUGUAGCGGUGAAAUGCGCAGAUAUCAGGAAGAACACCCGUGGCUAAGGCGGCUCUCUAGUACGGUACUGACGCUGAGACGCGAAAGCGUGGGGAGCGAACAGG
rnacentral:rRNA from 1 species